UUCGGAAUCACUGGGCGUAAAGGGUGCGUAGACGGCAAAAUAAGUCAGUUAUAAAAUUUCUUGGCUCAACCAAGAGUCUGUGGCUGAAACUGUUUUGCUUGAGGAUGGAAGAGAGAAGUGGAAUUCUCGGAGUAGCGGUAAAAUGCGUAGAUCUCGAGAGGAACACCGAUGGCGAAGGCAGCUUCUUGGUCCAUUCCUGACGUUGAUGCACGAAAGCGUGGGGAGCAAACAGGAUUAGAUACCCUGGUAGUCCACGCCGUAAACGAUGAUCACUAGAUGUCAGGCCCGUUUUAGGGUUUGGUGUCGCAGCUAACGCGUUAAGUGAUCCGCCUGGGAAGUACGGUCGCAAGAUUAAAACUUAAAGGAAUUGACGGGGGUCCGCACAAGCGGUGGAACAUGUGGUUUAAUUCGAUAUUACGCGAGGAACCUUACCUAGGCUUGACAUGCUUUUGACCGCUAUGGAAACAUAGUUUUCUAGGCUUCGGUUUAGACAAUUGCACAGGUGCUGCAUGGCU
rnacentral:rRNA from 1 species